rnacentral:rRNA from 1 species
UACGUAGGCAGCAAGCGUUGUUCGGAAUUACUGGGCGUAAAGGGUGCGUAGGCGGUUUGACAAGUCUGAUGUGAAAUCUAUGGGCUCAACCCAUAGUCUGCAUCGGAAACUGUCGGGCUGGAGUAUGGGAGAGGUGAGUGGAAUUUCCGGUGUAGCGGUGAAAUGCGUAGAUAUCGGAAGGAACACCUGUGGCGAAAGCGGCUCACUGGACCAUCACUGACGCUGAGGCACGAAAGCUAGGGGAGCAAACAGG